AGUCGAACGAUAGAUGCCCAGCUUGCUGGGUGGAUUAGUGGCGAACGGGUGAGUAACACGUGAGUAACCUGCCCCUGACUCUGGGAUAAGCGUUGGAAACGACGUCUAAUACUGGAUAUGAUCACUGGCCGCAUGGUCUGGUGGUGGAAAGAUUUUUUGGUUGGGGAUGGACUCGCGGCCUAUCAGCUUGUUGGUGAGGUAAUGGCUCACCAAGGCGACGACGGGUAGCCGGCCUGAGAGGGUGACCGGCCACACUGGGACUGAGACACGGCCCAGACUCCUACGGGAGGCAGCAGUGGGGAAUAUUGCACAAUGGGCGAAAGCCUGAUGCAGCAACGCCGCGUGAGGGAUGACGGCCUUCGGGUUGUAAACCUCUUUUAGUAGGGAAGAAGCGAAAGUGACGGUACCUGCAGAAAAAGCACCGGCUAACUACGUGCCAGCAGCCGCGGUAAUACGUAGGGUGCAAGCGUUGUCCGGAAUUAUUGGGCGUAAAGAGCUCGUAGGCGGUUUGUCGCGUCUGCUGUGAAAUCCCGAGGCUCAACCUCGGGCUUGCAGUGGGUACGGGCAGACUAGAGUGCGGUAGGGGAGAUUGGAAUUCCUGGUGUAGCGGUGGAAUGCGCAGAUAUCAGGAGGAACACCGAUGGCGAAGGCAGAUCUCUGGGCCGUAACUGACGCUGAGGAGCGAAAGCAUGGGGAGCGAACAGGAUUAGAUACCCUGGUAGUCCAUGCCGUAAACGUUGGGCGCUAGAUGUAGGGACCUUUCCACGGUUUCUGUGUCGUAGCUAACGCAUUAAGCGCCCCGCCUGGGGAGUACGGCCGCAAGGCUAAAACUCAAAGGAAUUGACGGGGGCCCGCACAAGCGGCGGAGCAUGCGGAUUAAUUCGAUGCAACGCGAAGAACCUUACCAAGGCUUGACAUACACCGGAAACGGCCAGAGAUGGUCGCCCCCUUGUGGUCGGUGUACAGGUGGUGCAUGGUUGUCGUCAGCUCGUGUCGUGAGAUGUUGGGUUAAGUCCCGCAACGAGCGCAACCCUCGUUCUAUGUUGCCAGCGGGUUAUGCCGGGGACUCAUAGGAGACUGCCGGGGUCAACUCGGAGGAAGGUGGGGAUGACGUCAAAUCAUCAUGCCCCUUAUGUCUUGGGCUUCACGCAUGCUACAAUGGCCGGUACAAAGGGCUGCGAUACCGUAAGGUGGAGCGAAUCCCAAAAAGCCGGUCUCAGUUCGGAUUGAGGUCUGCAACUCGACCUCAUGAAGUCGGAGUCGCUAGUAAUCGCAGAUCAGCAACGCUGCGGUGAAUACGUUCCCGGGCCUUGUACACACCGCCCGUCAAGUCAUGAAAGUCGGUAACACCCGAAGCCGGUGGCCUAAC
rnacentral:rRNA from 1 species